UGGCUUGGUCAGCGAGGUCUUGUUGCAAAACGAGAGAUGCUCUGUGUGACACUUGUAGUCAUCGUCUUCUGGAUAAUGAAACCUGCUGCCCUGAGCAUUUUGCCUGCCUGCGUCCUACUGAUCAGGGCCUGUAAUUUCCUUUUGUUAUCCUAUGGACAUGGAUGGUUAGAACUUCAUGGAGUGUCACGGAGACGAGGCUGAUGGAUUGAAAAUUUCAUACUAGCAGGGUGUUACUGUAGUUUCCCAGUUAAAUUUGAUUUGUAACUGAGAUUAUACUCGUAUGUUGGACAUGGAUGCAGGAAAAUCUUGCUGAAUCUUUCCAAGUCUUUAAAGGAUCGUUGUGGUUGGUGUUUGCAUGUCGCGUUGCGAUAUACCGGCGGGAUUUGAUUCUCUGUGAAUUUUUGGGUGGUAUUCGGUUUGGGCCUGCAGUGUGAUUAACUAGUAGGUGUGUAUGUUUGCUCAAGGGAUACUAAAACGGGUUGAAGGUUAUUGCCAUGAUUGCAUCCGGCCGAAUUUGGAUUCGCAUUUGCACUCGUAUAUUCGAUAAAAUAUGAAAGUUAAGCGGUGAAUACCAUAUGUUCCUUGAUUGCCUAUGUAUUUGAGAUGUUCAUGAAGCAUCUGGCCAUAGCAUCAGUGUAGGAAUGGGGUGUUCUUGUAAAUUAAUUAGGUGGUAGAGUGAGGUCGUAAUUUCAAAUGUCUAAUCCGUCUGAAAGUAAAUGGCAACUUCUUUCUGUGAUCUCUAUCCUCAAAUCAUAUAUAGAUACGAUAGCUCUGCCCCCCUACGCUCUUUGAAGUUUUUGAAGUUCAUGACUGACUGCAUCCGCCACUGCUCCCCUCACACCCAAGAUACUUCCGGACGAGGGGCCGAUGCAUGCAGACAUGUCUUUGAAAGGUUAUCUUCCAGUAAGACAGCUCGCAGUCAUAGCAGAGGAUAUCAAUGCCUUGUUUACUUGGGAAGUUGGGAGGUGCCAAAUUGGCAUUUUGCCAUAAAUGCGACACUGUAGCGUUUCGUUUGUAUUUGUGAAUUAUUGUCCAAAUAUUGACUAAUUAGGCUCAAAAGAUUCGUCUCGCAAAGUACAACAAAACUGUGCAAUUAGUUUUUGAUUUCGUCUACAUUUAGUACUCCAUGCAUGUACCGCAAGUUUGAUGUGAUGGGGAAUCUUCUUUUUGCAUAGUGUCAAAGUUGGGAGUUUUGUGGGAAGUAAACAAGGGCCAAAUCGAGAAUUACCAUUCAUUCAAAUAAAGAUGCAAACUUUACAAUGUAACUAUAGGUUGCACAGAAGUACAUGAAACAACAAAAAACAGAUGAGAUUCUGUAAUUUUCAACGACAUAUAGCUCAUGGUACGUGAUAUAACCACACUCGAGAAAGUUCACAAACAUAAUAACUAUUAGCAUAUAUGAUCAGCUGUUGAGAAACAAACAACACACCAUAUACAGAAAACCUAUGCUUCCAUGCGUACAGUUUCUUAAUUUCAGAACAUACUACUUUCUAACUGUAACACCAUCAGAAUGAUCCAUUUAUUUCCAUUCUUUUAGUAUCUUUCACUGUUUCCCUUAUCUAUCCAUGCAACAUGAUUCAGAAAUUCAGUUGAAUUUCAGCGGUGGUUCUCCUAACCGACUCUCCUUUUCUUUCUGAAUCCAGUCCAGGAUCAAGCCUCGCAGCCGGACAGGUGCAUGCACAACCCAAGAAUUCAGGAAGCGAGCGACCAUAGGAUUCCAACUCCCCAGCUCCUGAAUCUCUUGUUGCACCAGCUUUCUUUUCGUAGCCCCCCUAGAAGUUAUCCGUGCACCUGGCAUCUCCAUCCUUGACUUCUCAAGCACAAUGUAUUCAGUUCCAUGUUUAGACUUCCAAAGCAUUCGGUAGACUGCCGCUUCGGUGUUCUGGUAGAAAGAAUCUAAUGAUUUUGGCAGCACGACCUCAUUCAUCUGGUCCAAGGUAACGUCAGUAUCCAUGCAAUGCUGUUCUUCACCGUAUAUUGUCACUACUGCAGAACUUUUUUCUGCAGGAAGGCUAUCCUUUGAAGUACCAUGGGGCGUAAAGAGGAGUUCAGCUUUCAGAUAUGGAGAAUCCUUCAUGGAACUGCUGCGUUCAGAUAGUGAGGUCUUCUGUUUGCUGUACUCAUAUAGUGAGACUUGACACUGCAAGUGUAUUAGAAUAACUGAAUCCAGAGAAGCAUCCGGAAAUCCUACCAUAUCUAGGUUACUAAUACAAUGAAGCUUAUCCUGACCAUGCUGCUUGCAACAUAAUGGGUCUGGACGAAACCAUUGAGUGCUAAAGCUAUGAAGAUUGUCCCAGUGUUUUCUGUGGCACAGAUCAAUAUUUGGCACCCACGAGAAGUCCUGCAUAGGUAGUUGAGUAAGUUCUUUCUUAAUGGUUUCAACUAUAGGCUGGAAAUGAGUGGGAAACAACUGCAAGCACUUAACCACAAUCCCAACCAUGUCUGUACUUUCAGAAAUCUGUAGCACUACAGCGAAAAAGAAGUCUUUCUCCGGUGCAUUACCGUCUUUCUGGAUAAAUUUCAGGCAAGCUUCUAUUCCAUGUUCUGCAGUAAUGUAAGGAACCAACCAUAGUAGAUACGAAGGGUGCUCAUCUUCCCGACCAAUUCUAUGCUGUAGUUCAUUGCCUGCCAAAAGGUGCUUGAUAAGAGAGUUGAAGGGCAUGUGACGGUGUGGUGUGCCACCAACCUCGACAAAUCUUACAAACUCCCUGGCCCCAUCUGCAAACCACUCAAACCUUUGAACUGUGGAUCCGCUCAACUCACUAUUGUCGCGGAAGGCAGAGAAAAUGAAUGACUUGGUAGCAUGCACAAUCCGAUUAGGCAGGGAAGAAUUCUUCACCUCCCGUUGCAUCUGUUCUUCUUCAAGGAUUAUAUGCUUCCAUUUGUGCAGUGCGUCGUGGCACUCUUUAGCAGCGUGCUUGAGCUUCCUGCGCCAACGCAGCAAGGAUGCAUCAGUGAUGUGCCACUUGUCUGAUGUCUCAAGAGCAGCCUCCAGCCUGAUGUGUGCCAUCUCUAACCUCUCCAAGUUUCUGGUUGCAUUUGAUUCCGCAUACCUCUGAACCAGACCCGAUAGGAUUUGGCUAACUGUCUCCUGGACAACCGCAGAACUGACCAUCUCCGCCAUUAGGAUUAGCAUGUGUAGCAUUCCUUCCUGCGCAGGAAAGGGCAAUGUGAAAUAUUACGCAUAAAAGAUUAUAUAUGAACUGAAUGUGGGGAAAUGCAGUCCAAGACUUGGUGAGCAAAGAGAGGGGACAGGGACUGGCCAUGAACAUGGAGGAGACACAGACAGAGAGUAUGACAGCGAGGGGUGUGGAAGAAUUGGUCUCCACAACUCCGAGUGGAAACACGACUAGGCAAGUCAAUAGAGUCGGAUAUACAGCGCAUGGUGCGGGGGACCACAAAUCAAGAGACUCACCUCUUGCUGCCGCACAACUGCUUAUUACACAACUUAGCUGCAGCUAGCUUAGUUUCUGACGGAAUGGACGGACGAUGGAGGUUACUAUUGUAGUGUGGAUCGAUUACAAACACACACCAGAGAGAAGCUGAUCAAGUGGUGCAGUGGUUUGUGUUCAUUCUUACUGAACCGAUCCAGUGGGCUGUACCUGUAUAUAUAGAAGUGGGAGAAGCAGAGGUUGUGCAGGUCUGAAGCUCAAGGAAAUGCAAAGCCUAUCCAGUACUCCUUCCCUUCCAAAUUAUAAGUUGUUUUAGAUUUUUCCUAAGUUCAUACUUUUACUAUACAUUUAGGGCCUGUUUGGCAGGGCUGUGGCUGUGGUUGAAACGGCUGCGGCUGUGGUUGCUCUGGUGAAGCUGAAGCCGUUCUGGAAAGUGUUUGGCAAAACGGUUUCUCCUGUGUCUUUAGAAAUGGCUGUGAUAAAUCAAAUGUCAUAGAUGACCUUUACUAUAUGGAUUAUUUGAUUAGAUGGAUGGAAUGCUUAACAUUUAAUAUUUGUUUAUAAAUUUGAGUUCCUUAGACAUUUAAAAAAAUAAAA
rnacentral:lncRNA from 1 species